rnacentral:lncRNA from 1 species
GGGGCCUGCCGGGAACUGGAGUGCGCCCCGCGGCCUUUUGCGCAGGCGCCGAAGCCACACCGCGAAGUACCGUUUUUUCAGGCACAAGGAAGGUUUCACCCCGUUGCCGAAAGACUAAGCGUCCCGUUGGCCAGUGCAACGAAGAACGGAGGAAGCGACGCAAGGCCUCUGCUGAUGCUGCUUUUUUCUCCUGUACCCAUCCAUGGGAGGGAGCUGUGAGAUGGCCUGGCAGAACCCGCUCUUGGACCCCACAGAAUGAGAGGCUCACCCUGCACAGGAACAUCCUGGGGCAGCAGGCUCAGCACAUUUUAAAUUUUGAGUAUGAACAAAGUAAACUUCAGGGUUAAAAAAAAACACAAAAAUUUGUCGAGC